rnacentral:rRNA from 1 species
AUACGGAGGGAGCGAGCGUUAAUCGGAAUUACUGGGCGUAAAGCGCGCGUAGGCGGCUUUGUAAGUCGGAUGUGAAAGCCCUGGGCUCAACCUGGGAAUGGCAUUCGAAACUGCAGAGCUAGAGUAUGGUAGAGGGAAGUGGAAUUUCCGGUGUAGCGGUGAAAUGCGUAGAUAUCGGAAGGAACACCAGUGGCGAAGGCGACUUCCUGGGCCAAUACUGACGCUGAGGUGCGAAAGCGUGGGGAGCAAACAGGAUUAGAAACCCCGGUAGUCC